rnacentral:tRNA from 1 species
GUGUCCAUAGCUCAGCCGGAUAGAGCAACGGCCUUCUAAGUCGGGGGUUCGAAUCCCUUUGGACACA